rnacentral:rRNA from 1 species
GCAUCAUUCAAAUAUCUUCCCUAUCAACUUUCGAUGGUAGGAUAGGGGCCUACCAUGGUUUCAACUGGUAACGGGGAAUUAGGGUUCGAUUCCGGAGAGGGAGCCUGAGAAACGGCUACCACAUCCAAGGAAGGCAGCAGGCGCGCAAAUUACCCAAUCCCGACCGGGGAGGUAGUGACAAUAAAUAACAAUAUAGGGCUCUUUUGGGUCUUAUAAUUGGAAUGAGUACAAUUUAAAUCUCUUAACGAGAAACAAUUGGAGGGCAAGUCUGGUGCCAGCAGCCGCGGUAAUUCCAGCUCCAAUAGCGUAUAUUAAAGUUGUUGCAGUUAAAAAGCUCGUAGUUG